CAGAUCUCGAUCUGCUUCAUCUCUCAAACGACGCCCCAGCCCCGAGAGGAGUCGCCGCCGCCGCCAGGGAACGAGAGGAGCCGCCGCCUCCAGGUCACCGCUGCCCUCGCACUCGCAUCCAUACCUUCGCCGCCGCCCUCGCGCUUGCGGAUCCCUGGAAUGCCGCCGAUCCGAGACGAGCCGCCGCCGCCGAGGAACGAGACGAGCCGCCGCCUUCAUUGCAGACCUGGGCUAGGGUUCCAUACGCCGCCGCCGGUGUCUCGCCCCCUCACCACUCCUUCGCGGGCGCCACCCAACCACCGCCACCCUCUCCACGCACCCGCACACACUCACCCAACUCUCUCUCCGCAGCCGCCAUCUAGAUCUCGGCCGGUUGAUUCCGACGGCGCGCAUCACACUCCUCCUGUGCUCGCCUCGCGCCGCUGCGUCCACCCAUCCGGCUGGAUUCGCCGCUCCCCGGUGGCAAGGGCUUUAGUCGCCUCCAACUCCGGCAACUCCGGCGGUUCAUCUCCGACGCCUACCCAGCCCCCGCGCGCAGCUCUGUCUCCUGGAUGAAUUUGUCCUGCUCGAGGACGACCAGUUCUUCCUCAACCUCCAAGGACGCCCGCCAUCGUCGAGCCUCUCUCCGUGGGAUGCCAUGGAGAUGAAACUCCCCUCGACCAGGGAAUUCAAGGGCAUGUGGGAGAGAGAGGAGGUCCAUGGAGAAGAUGCUCUGCUCCAACCCUCCCUGCCUCCUACUACAAGAUGUCUUUUUUGUGUGUGCUUGUAUUGCAGCAGCCAUGUGCGUAUCAAAAAAAGGGUCCAGUUUGCAGCAGUCACAUGAUGUGAACAUGUUUUUUCAUCACAAUUGGAUUUUUGGAUUUACUAGGCCAAUUGGUGGUUGUUGUUGUUGUUGUUGUUUUAGCAGCAGCAGCAGCAGCAGGCCGAGUGACGGUGGUGGCUGUGUGCAGGCCAUGGAGGCGAUGAUGAGCACGAGGGGAAGGCUGCUGCUUCAACCCCGUUAAGGUUCCGUAAGAAGCACAAUAAAGUCGGUAUGAAGGCUAUGAGAGGAUGGGCAAUACAGAUAUUGACAGGGCUGGAAUAUCUUCAGAGUCAGGAACCAUCCAUUAUUCAUAGGGAUUUAAGGUGUGACAACAUAUUCAUAAACGGUCAUGAUGGACAAGUGAAGAUUGGUGACUUUGGUCUGGCGACAUUUUUGCAUCAACGGAAAACGAGAAGUAUUAAAGGCACAUUAGAGUUUAUGGCACCAGAACUCUUCACUGGGAAUUACAACGAGUUGGUGGAUAUAUAUUCAUUUGGGAUCUGCAUGCUUGAAAUGGUGACAUGUGAAUAACCAUACAGUGAAUGCGAAGGCAAGCCAUGGAUAUACAAGAAAAUUUGUGAAGGUAUAAAACCAGCUGUGCUUUCCAAGGUUGAAGAUGCAGAAGUAAGAGGUUUCAUAGAAAUUUGUUUGGCUCCGGCAGCUGAAAGACUUUGUGCAAGUGAGCUCUUGAAGUACUGUUUCCUCCAGAAAGACAAGCCUAUCCCAGCGCCUCCUAUUUCAGUCUCCCUGGUCUCGAGUGUGACUAAAGAUGGGCGGCAGUCUGCCAGUUUCAUGCUAUGGAAGGGUGAAUUCUCACUAAAAGGCGACAUGCAUGUCAGCGACCAUGUUAAUUUAUCGCUAAGAUUUCCUGAUCCCAGUGGUUGUUUUAAGAAUGCCGAGUUCCCGUUCGAUGUGGACCAAGAUACCAGCCUUUCUGUGGCUCUGGAAAUGGUCGACACUUUUGGACGGUGGCGGCGGCGGCAGAGGCUAUGGCUCGAUAGCGAGACGAGUCUGUUGAGAAUAGCCAGCGACGGGUUCUUUUCUUUCGCUUGCUCUGUUUUAAAAAAAGAAGAAGACAAGGGUUCCUUUUUUUAUACAGAGAAUUUACCACAGUAUUGGAAAUACUUUGGUUUUGAUAAUACAGUUUUUAGUGCUAACCAAACAGGUCACUGUAAAUAAAACCAUGGUAAGUAAAAAAAACUGCAGUAUUCUAAGAAUACUUAAAAAAUACUUUGCUAUCAAACAGGGCCUCAAAGUAAUUAAAACCAUGGUAAUCCUAAAAACGGUAGUAUUUCCAGAAUACUUAGAAAAUAUAGAGCUAUCAAACAGGGCCUGAAUCAUCAAUUGGAGGUGGUAGUAUGAGAUUUAAAAAAUCUGACGGUGUAGGAGAUAUCUAACUCCAUGGCAAUGUUCGAUGGAUGUUCUGCGAAUUGCUUGCAAGCCAUGAAAAAUUACAGUUUAACACAGCAUAUAUAUUGUCUUACACACUCAUGAUCUGGUGAUAGUUUUAAUUGCCUUGAUCUUUGUUUUGUAGUACAGACAAGAAUAGCUUCAAUGACAGCAUCUCGAAUCAUCAAGUUGUGUGACUUCCCUCUUGAGUGGGUGUUGUAUUUUAGCAGGCCUAUAUUUGAAAUAGUUGAGAGCCACUUUUGUUGUUUCUAUAUGGGUGCACACCAAAUUAUACCUUCCGAGAAGAUUAAUGUGCUCAUGAUUUACCUUCUGAAAAAAGGAACUUGUGAUCCAUCUACGCGCAAUGAGCUGGAGAUGGGGGGCACAAAAGGACACUAAGCCACCCCAGAUUGUUACGGCACAGUGGUGCCACUGCGUGGGCAUCAACACGAGGAGUUGAUGCAACUUCAACACAGGGCGGCAGCGGCAUGAUGACUUCAACACAAGUCCUGGUGAGAAGAACGCGGGAGCUAGGAUAUAGAGCCAGAUGUUGUGUAUGUGUAAGAAUUUCAUCUACGCUUAUAUUAUUUUUGCAGGGUCCUAAUGCAUUCACUACUCUAAUUUCUCCUGGAUGCAUCAGAACACACUGCUACCAAGUGUAAUACUCUUGAAACGAACACAUAUAGUUAGUAUUCUAGGAAAUAAAGGAAACUAUGGAAUAAUGAGGACCCUGAUCUUCUAUGUAAACUAGAUAUUGAUCCUACACGGAAUUUCUAUGUAAAAAUUACUGACAUAGUGGAGAAGCGCACCACUUGAUGUCCCGAGCCUUCGCACAGCCAGCAAGUGCUUUGGCUGGGCUUGUGUUGGAUGGUAGAAAGUUUUGACUCAGGUUGUUGUUUGUUCAUUUGGCAUGACUACUUGUAGGCGGUAUUUUAUUGUUAGUUUCAACAUUAUUUCAACUCUGUUGUUUUGGUCUGUGCUUAUUCUAGUAUUCUGGCUAGAUGGUGUUCACAUUGUAGUACCUAAUACAUCACAUGUACUCCCUCCGUCCCUUGAUUUAGUACAACUUUAGUAUAGUUACACAUGCUGACAUGUGUUGUUAGUCAUUCUUUCCUGUGUAUGAAGGACGAUAGGAUUCUUGUAAUAGUUAAGAGUACCAUUUUGAAAAAUUUGGUGAAUUACUGUAAAG
rnacentral:rRNA from 1 species